ACGGAUCGGCGGACGGCCGCGGCCCCGGCGCAGGCCGGGGACGAGGAAAGUCCGGGCACCGCAGAGCGAGAUGGUGGGUAACGCCCACUCGGGGAGACCCGCAGGCCAGUGCCACAGAAAACAGACCGCCUCCCGCGCGACGCGGGCGGUAAGGGUGAAACGGUGGAGUAAGAGACCACCAGCGGCCCCGGUGACGGGGCCGGCUCGGUAAACCCCAUCCGGUGCAAGGCCGAACAGGAUGUGCUCGAGGGCUGCUCGCCUGAGCAUCCGGGUUGGCCGCUCGAGCCCGUCGGCAACGACGGGCCUAGAUAGAUGGUCGUCACUCCGAGGCCGGCGACGGCGUCGGAGAACAGAACCCGGCUCACAGCCGGUCCGUCCCC
rnacentral:RNase_P_RNA from 1 species